UGGGGAAUUUUGGACAAUGGGCGCAAGCCUGAUCCAGCCAUGCCGCGUGAGUGAAGAAGGCCUUCGGGUUGUAAAGCUCUUCCAGACGGAAAGAAAUCUCUCAGGAUAAUACCUUGGGAGGAUGACGGUGCCGUAAGAAGAAGCACCGGCUAACUACGUGCCAGCAGCCGCGGUAAUACGUAGGGUGCAAGCGUUAAUCGGAAUUACUGGGCGUAAAGCGUGCGCAGGCGGUUAUGCAAGACAGAUGUGAAAUCCCCGGGCUCAACCUGGGAACUGCGUUUGUGACUGCAUAACUAGAGUACGGCAGAGGGAGGUGGAAUUCCGCGUGUAGCAGUGAAAUGCGUAGAGAUGCGGAGGAACACCGAUGGCGAAGGCAGCCUCCUGGGCCAGUACUGACGCUCAUGCACGAAAGCGUGGGGAGCAAACA
rnacentral:rRNA from 1 species